rnacentral:rRNA from 1 species
GCAGCGACGCCGCGUGAGUGAUGAGGCCUUCGGGUUGUAAACCUCUUUCGCCGGGGACGAACUGGCGGUUCCUGCAGAAGAAGGUCCGGGCAAAUUCCUGCCAGCACCCCCGGGGAUACUUCGGGGGCUAGCGUUGUUCGGAAUUAUUGGGCGUAAAGUUCUCCCAAACUGUUUGGCCAAUCGGGGGUGAAAGCCCCCCGCUCAACUCGGAGGGGGACUCCAAAACUUAACGACUUAAGUCCGGUAAAACAGGGUUGAAUUCCCGGUGGAAAGGGGAAUUGGAUUCACAUUGGAAGGAACACAGUGCGAAAGCGGGCAUUUGGCCGGGUCCUGACGCUGAUUCCCGAAAGCGUGUGGAGCGAAAAGGAUUAAAAACCCUGGG